UUAAUUAAGUUUGUAUUUUAAAUUUGGGUUCUAAUUAUUGUUUUGCAUCUUGUGUGCCAUUGCUUUGGUGGAAAGGCAGGGUCUGAAUCAAAUAAACAAACAAAUAAAUACCAUUUUGAUUCCUUUAUAGCAACUUGCCAACUCUAGAUACAAGCAUAUUCAGGGUUUAAGCCCCCAAAGUGGCAUCCGUGUUACCAUUCAGGGUGGGCCGAUUUGUGAUAAGACCUCAUCCUCUUACAACAGUCAAGCCUGUAAAAUGAGCAUACAGUCUUCUUCAUCACAGAGCAGUAGUUCUUAUGGCUCUCAGGGCGGAAGCUCUGUUAUAGUUGGCAGCAGUGGCUCCUCCCCUUCAGUUGGUGGCGGUGGAACCACUAUUAAAAUCAUCAGUGGUGGAUCGCCGUCUUCAGUUGGUGGUGGCAGUGGAACCUCUUUUGGCAAUCGUGG